rnacentral:rRNA from 1 species
CCAAUAGCGUAUAUUAAAGUUGUUGCAGUUAAAAAGCUCGUAGUUGAAUUUCGGGGUUAGUAGGUUGGUCAUGCCUCUGGUAUGUACUGGUCUCACUGAUUCCUCCUUCCUGAUGAACCUUAAUGCCAUUAAUUUGGUGUUUUGGGGAAUUUGGACUGUUACUUUGAAAAAAUAGAGUGUUUAAAGCAAGCUAACGCUUGAAUACAUUAGCAUGGAAUAAUGAAAUAGGACGUUCGAUCCUAUUUUGUUGGUUUCUAGGAUUGACGUAAUGAUUAAUAGGGAUAGUUGGGGGCAUUAGUAUUCAAUUGUCAGAGGUGAAAUUCUUGGAUUUAUUGAAGACUAACUACUGCGAAAGCAUUUGCCAAGGAUGUUUUCAUUAAUCAAGAACGAAAGUUAGGGGAUCGAAGACGAUCAGAUACCGUCGUAGUCUUAACCAUAAACUAUGCCGACUAGGAAUCAGGCGAUGUUAAUUUUUUAAUGACUCGUUUGGCACCUUACG